AUUGAACGCUGGCGGCAUGCCUUACACAUGCAAGUCGAACGGCAGCACGGGUGCUUGCACCUGGUGGCGAGUGGCGAACGGGUGAGUAAUACAUCGGAACAUGUCCUGUAGUGGGGGAUAGCCCGGCGAAAGCCGGAUUAAUACCGCAUACGAUCUACGGAUGAAAGCGGGGGCCCUUCGGGCCUCGCGCUAUAGGGUUGGUCGAUGGCGGAUUAGCUAGUUGUUGGGGUAAAGGCCUACCAAGGCGACGAUCAGUAGCUGGUCUGAGAGGACGACCAGCCACACUGGGACUGAGACACGGCCCAGACUCCUACGGGAGGCAGCAGUGGGGAAUUUUGGACAAUGGGCGAAAGCCUGAUCCAGCAAUGCCGCGUGAGUGAAGAAGGCCUUCGGGUUGUAAAGCGCUUUUGUCCGGAAAGAAAUCCUUGGCCCUAAUACGGUCGGGGGAUGACGGUACCGGAAGAAUAAGCACCGGCUAACUACGUG
rnacentral:rRNA from 1 species